rnacentral:rRNA from 1 species
UACAGGGGGGGCAAGCGUUGUUCGGAAUUACUGGGCGUAAAGGGUCUGUAGGUGGCCAACUAAGUCAGACGUGAAAUCCCUCAGCUUAACUGGGGAACUGCGUCUGAUACUGGAUGGCUUGAGUGUGGGAGAGGAAUGCGGAAUUCCAGGUGUAGCGGUGAAAUGCGUAGAUAUCUGGAGGAACACCGGUGGCGAAGGCGGCAUUCUGGACCUAACUGACACUGAGAGACGAAAGCCAGGGGAGCAAACGGG